GAUGAACGCUGGCGGCGUGCCUAAUACAUGCAAGUCGAGCGAACGGACGAGAAGCUUGCUUCUCUGAUGUUAGCGGCGGACGGGUGAGUAACACGUGGAUAACCUACCUAUAAGACUGGGCUAACUUCGGGAAACCGGAGCUAAUACCGGAUAAUAUUUUGAACCGCAUGGUUCAAAAGUGAAAGACGGUCUUGCUGUCACUUAUAGAUGGAUCCGCGCUGCAUUAGCUAGUUGGUAAGGUAACGGCUUACCAAGGCAACGAUGCAUAGCCGACCUGAGAGGGUGAGCGGCCACACUGGAACUGAGACACGGUCCAGACUCCUACGGGAGGCAGCAGUAGGGAAUCUUCCGCAAUGGGCGAAAGCCUGACGGAGCAACGCCGCGUGAGUGAUGAAGGUCUUCGGAUCGUAAAACUCUGUUAUUAGGGAAGAACAUAUGUGUAAGUAACUGUGCACAUCUUGACGGUACCUAAUCAGAAAGCCACGGCUAACUACGUG
rnacentral:rRNA from 1 species